UACGUAGGGUGCGAGCGUUAAUCGGAAUUACUGGGCGUAAAGCGUGCGCAGGCUGUUUUGUAAGUCAGAUGUGAAAUCCCUGAGCUCAACUUAGGAACUGCGUUUGAAACUACAAGACUAGAAUAUGUCAGAGGGGGGGUAGAAUUCCACGUGUAGCAGUGAAAUGCGUAGAGAUGUGGAGGAAUACCAAUGGCGAAGGCAGCCCCCUGGGAUAAUAUUGACGCUCAUGCACGAAAGCGUGGGGAGCAAACAGG
rnacentral:rRNA from 1 species